rnacentral:rRNA from 1 species
GUGAGGAAUCUUCCACAAUGGGCGAAAGCCUGAUGCAGCAACGCCGCGUGAAGGAUGAAGGUCUUCGGAUUGUAAACUUCUUUUAUGAGUGAAGAAUAUGACGUUAACUCAUGAAUAAGCACCGGCUAACUACGUGCCAGCAGCCGCGGUCAUACGUAGGGUGCAAGCAUUAUCCGGAGUGACUGGGCGUAAAGAGUUGCGUAGGCGGUUAUGUAAGCGAAUAGUGAAACCUGGUGGCUCAACCACACAGACUAUUAUUCGAACUGCAUAACUCGAGAAUGGUAGAGGUAACUGGAAUUUCUUGUGUAGGAGUGAAAUCCGGAGAUAUAAGAAGGAACACCAAUGGCGUAGGCAGGUUACUGGGCCAUUUCUGACGCUAAGGCACGAAAGCGUGGGGAGCGAACCGGAUUAGAAACCCCAGUAGUCC